UUAGUUUCUGCAUUUUUAAGUCAGAACGAGCCUGCUGGUCUAGUGGUUGGUUGUGUGUUACUUUAGCUUGGGGGUCCGAGUUUGAGUCCUUAGGUGUGUUUUGAUGGAAUUAUUUUGAUUUAGCUUUGUUUUGUUUUAAAAGGUUAUAUUUUUAUUUUUUUUGUCUUACUUAUUUUAUUUUGUUGUAUUAAAAAAAGAGAGAAAGGAAAAAGAAGCAGAGAGUUGUUUUUUACGUUUUUGGUUUUCCAAAUUUUCUCUGCACAUUCCUCUUUUCCCCCUCUCCCUCUCUUUUCACGAAAUUUCUUUUUGCGUUGUUAUGGUUUCA
rnacentral:lncRNA from 1 species